rnacentral:lncRNA from 1 species
GAUCCGGGUGAUCAUCUCUGCUUGAUGGAGGAUCAUGCUUUACGAGAUUUUUGGAAAGAAAAACGAAAAAGAAACAUUGCCAUUUCUAAAAAAAAAAAAAUUGAAAGAAAGAGAACACAAAAUUGUUUGCAAAAGCUGUCCUUUAUUGAUGAUGAAAAUAAUUACGAAAUGCGACUAAAUGGAUGGCCCUACAGAUGAGUCAUUACACCUUGG